CUAAAGUACACCAAAGCUGUUGUGUUGUACUCUGUAGUCUGGACGCUGCUCUGAGUGACCCAGGUUUAAAUAAAUACACUCACCAAAGUGUAUGAUUAAUAUCACUAUGUGCUUUUUUCAGGUAAAGAAUAUUUGAUCUGGGUCACGUAUAGGUUAGGACUCACACGCCCUGACGUCCGGAGACGCUCUGUUUCUGUCGCCUCUCAGAUGAAGUGUCGCGGUGUGUGUUUCCUCUGCCAAAUAGGGCAUUGGUUCAGUGAGCCGCCAUGCUUCUCUAUUCUUAGCAGAGCAGACACCCCCCUGCCACCCCCCUCUGGCUGUAAAGUCCAGCAACGCCCCACUCUGCACUCUGCCUCCCGACCAGAUUUAUAAGAGCCACAGAUCCUCGGCACUGGUUUGGCACAAGACUCCCCGAGCAGGACAUGUAAUCCACAAAAUUUAGCCAGUGCCCAGGGCCGCUCACAGCUCUGCUUCUUGUGAGAUUUAACGAAGAUGAUGGUCUUAAAAUGGUUUUACCACGAGAAACUUCCCCUACAAGGAAUAUACCCGUUGUCCUCUCCCCCUGAGGCCCCACACUGCCAUUCUGAGGAGUAAAAUGAUAGAUCCAGAGGGUUUACCACAGAUCAUGGGGAGACAAUGCAGGAGGAGCAGCUUUUUAAAAUCACUUCUACCAGAUGACGCCUCUGAAGAAGACCAUGCCAGACGUGAUAUGCUUUCACUACCAGCAACUACAGCGGUGGACCCUGAAUGCAUCCUCACCUGAUGAAAGGUCUUGAGAUGGCCAGGACCGUCCGGAUAAACCAUGUCGGCAUCUCUUCAACCAGCCGAUUCCAGGCAUCUUCCUGCGAGGAGUUGCUCCAUUCAGGUACGGCCUGAUGACCUGCAUGUCGAUGCGUUGCUCCUGGUCUCCGAUGAUCACCGUUCGCCACAGACGACCAGACGAGUCUCUCUCCUCUUCGCUUUCCCCUGGAAGACGUUUGGCGGUGGCCACCGGAGUGUCAUCUGAAAACGAGGAGACGCCUGAAAGCUGCAGCUAAUAUCGCAUAACCUUUCUCCUCACAUCCACUCUAACAACACUCGUUGCCGUUGUUGAUGAACUCCAGCGAGUCGGUCUCAUCGGGCGUCUCGAUGUCGUCCACGUUGAUGUCCAGGUCGUCGGGCGUUUCCAGGAGGUCGUCGGAGAGCACCGAGCCCUCGCUCUGAUCCAGGGACAGGUUCAUGUCGGG